AACGUAGGGGCCAACCGUUAUCCGGAGUUACUGGGCGUAAAGGGCGUGUAGGUGGUAGAGUAAGUCUGGCGUGAAAUUUUUCGGCUUAACCGGGAAAGGUCGUCGGAGACUGCUUAACUAGAGGACGGUAGAGGCGUGUGGAAUUCCGGGUGUAGUGGUGAAAUGCGUAGAGAUCCGGAGGAACACCAGUGGCGAAGGCGACACGCUGGGCCGUACCUGACACUGAUGCGCGACAGCAUGGGGAGCAAACAGG
rnacentral:rRNA from 1 species